ensembl:snRNA U6 U6 spliceosomal RNA
GUGCUCAGUUCGGCAGCACAUAUACUAAAAUUGGAACUAUACAGAGAAGAUUAGCAUGGCCCCUGCACAAGGAUGACACCCAAAUUCGUGAAGUGGUCCAUUUUUUU